GGGUCAGUAGGUUGGUCGUGCCACCGGUACGUACUGGUCACACUGAUCCCUCCUUCCUGAAGAACCGUAAUGCCAUUAAUUUGGUGUUGCGGGGAAACAGGACUGUUACUUUGAAAAAAUUAGAGUGUUUAAAGCAAGCUAACGCUUGAAUACAUUAGCAUGGAAUAAUGAAAUAGGACGAUCGAUCCUAUUUUGUUGGUUUCUAGGAUUGACGUA
rnacentral:rRNA from 1 species